rnacentral:lncRNA from 1 species
UGCAGGGACUCCGGGAGCUGGGGCGGUCGCUGGUACCCACGGGGAGCAGGGGAGCCUUCCUAGGGGCCGCGGCACCGUGCCGCAGGUCGAGGUUGACCCGGCCGGGCUGGUGGGAGCCCUCGGCGGCUUCAUGGCCCCGGCUGCUGCACGGGUUCCCCAGGGUGGGGAAGCGGGUCCUGGCCGAGCAGAGGUUGCUCUUGGGCGGGGCGUCUCCCCGGAGCAAGCGCUCAGCUACUCGGGCUUUUGCGUAAACGCCUCGAUUCUCUGGGCUCUCGGAGAGCAGCUGGGUCCUGCCGGAGCGCACUCCAGCCGGGGUCGGGGUGGGGCAGCGCCGGCUCUUGUCGUCCUAGGGAUGGGUCUCUGCCCUGUGCUCUGCGAGCCGCCCCGGCCGCCCCCGCGUUCAGGGCCCAGCGGAGUGAGCCAGCUUAGGUGGAAGUGCGUCCCUCCCUCCGUGGCUGAACACGUGGGGACAGGGAGUACACCAAUGGGGUUUCUGGGUUGGGGGCAGAGGACAAGAAAAUGACUGUGAGCCAGGGCAAGAUACCUCCACCCUCUCCCUCCUGGCAGCUCUCCACUUCCUCCAGGAGAGAAGUACUGACCAGAGAACGCCCGUGGAGGGGCCUGCAGUACGGACACCUGCUCCAUGCCCGGAAGAGAGCGGAAACCAGGCACACCAUUCACAAGUAAAUGACCAAGGAACCCCGCCCCCGGCCCGCCUCCCUCCGUUUAAGAAGCCAAUCUGAAGAGCGCUAAGGCCAGACACCCUCGAGGGAGAAUCUAGGGGCAGGGCUGCAAAACUGGGCUUGGAAGUUAGGCAGACAUCGUGGAGUCCGGGUGCACCUGCUGGAGCACAAAGCACCACUUGCAGACAUCCUGACCGCCCCCCUUUGAGGUUGGGGUGGGGACUGACCCCAAGGCAACGGGGAUGUCUGAUUCUGAAUGUUGGGUUAGACAGACUCAAGUGCGGCACCUGGAGUCAGUUCCUUGCUCCUCUCUUCUCGCCAGGGCUGCUCUGAAGGUGUUUGGGCUGGAAAUGCUGUCUUUGAUGCUGGGGAGUGGGGAGAGGAGGGCCAGGUGCAUCUCAUUUGGCCUUCAGAGUCAGGAAGUCAGAUGCCGCAUCGUUGUGAAUUUCCCCACAGGGAUCCUCCGCUGGUCUUCUGACCGAAUUUCCCCACAGGAAUCCGCAGGUCUUCUGACUGCUAGUUUUAACCCUCUGAAGCCUUGUGAGUCACUCGCUCACACACACCAACCCCAUCCAGUCCUCCCAGGCCAUCUCUUCCAUACGGAUGGUAACAUGCCAAGACUGUCCUAGAGGAAAUGAUCACGAUCACGUGGAGGAGGAAACGGACGUGGGAGAAGGCCCGCCAAACCAGCAGCCUCACCCCGCGGUUUACUCCGCUGCCCACCCCACUCUGCUCCGGGGGCUGGCAGGCUUUUGGCCCCACGCCAAGCCCAGCUCCUAUCUGCAACAAGAUUUAUGAUCAGUAGUCAUGUGGGGGACCUUAAGCAUGGAUCCCAGGGGAAAGGGGGUGAGUUAGACACAAGCGAAGGGCUGAAGGCCGGCUCUCCAUCAGCUGCUGGGCUGUGCCGUGCCCCACCUGUACUUGGCGAAGAGUGAUGAGGGCUGAGGCAGCCUCUCUGUCCGUGGGUGUGGAAGAUGCACACACUCCUAGCGGAAGCCUUCGAGACAGCAGCGCAGACCGCUGGACACUGCGUUUCUAUGCCCAACUUGGAGGUGUUAUCAUCUCCCUAAGCACGAAGUAUAUGAAGGAGUCAAUUUAGGUCAGACUGAGGGGAGAAAAACCAUGAAGCUUCAGGCUGUGUUGAGGGCGAGGAGGGCUGGGCCUUGAGGGACCUCUCCUCAGAGCAGCACAGCCCAAUAAGGAGAACACAGCAGGAAGGUGAGG